UACAGAGGGGGCGAGCGUUGUUCGGAAUUACUGGGCGUAAAGGGCGCGUAGGCGGCCUUCUCAGUCGAACGUGAAAUCCCCGGGCUCAACCCGGGAACUGCGUCCGAUACUGGAAGGCUUGAAUCCGGGAGAGGGAUGCGGAAUUCCAGGUGUAGCGGUGAAAUGCGUAGAUAUCUGGAGGAACACCGGUGGCGAAGGCGGCAUCCUGGACCGGCAUUGACGCUGAGGCGCGAAAGCCAGGGGAGCAAACGGG
rnacentral:rRNA from 1 species